ensembl:lncRNA
GCAGAUGAGGAGAGAAGCGGGCACCAGUAGUGGGGGGAAUGGUAGGGCUCACCCGAACACCAGGAAGAUGAAACCAACCCUCGGGAGCAUUUUCCUGGGAUUCCCUGGCACGAUUCUCCGAGCAGUUUUGAGCCUCCAAACAGGCUCAUCUGACUCAGCCCCCAGACUCUGCUGGAACAGAGAAAAUGCAUCCCAUGGUGCUGCGUGGCAAGGUCAUCUCUGAGGUCUCCGUGUUUCUUCCACAACUUGGUAGUGCUGUCUUCAACUAAACCCAUGUCAAAGGCUUUGGGCUCCUGGUUAUUUCUAAAGGCUUUGGAACACAGCAUUCUCUCGAGUACUUUCCCCAGCAGCUCCCUUGCUUCAUGCACUUAGCCCUCAAGGCUAAGUUGGUGCUGCCCACUAUCUGCUGUCAGCCACUGUGGCUCCCUGUGAAGGUGAGGUCUGCAUCAGACAGUCAGAGCCAGAGGCGGAGUAAAAAGUGAUAAGGUGGAGACAAAGCAGGAGGGUGCAUUCUGCAGUAGAUCCAGAAUGCCAGGGUUGACUCAGGAGGAAGAAUUCAGUCAUGCAGAGGUCCUGAAAACUGCAUGUUCUUCGUGUUCAGAUCAUCCCUGAUUAUAAUUGAGGAGGAAAUCAGAACAGUCAAGAAUUGGGCUGACUGCCAAAUGGCAUUUCUGAAAUGAAGACCACACCUCUCAAGUGCCAACUCUGCGGCCAGAUGACUUCCUUUGGGAUGACUAGCCCUGCAUCUCAUUCAGACUCCUUCCCAGCGGCCAGCACACAUACCAUCAGGAUUUAAUGGUCUAGCUCUCCUGCCCAAGAAGAUGAUGCUGUGGCGCCUCCACCCCUCUUCAGUGUACCCUCUGCAGUUUGUACCCGCCACCAACUCCAGGAAGAUGGCUUCAGGGAGGAGGAAGCACUCCUCAUCCUCACCCCAGUGGUGCUGGAAGGAGCCUGACAUUCAGGUUAACAGAGAAUGAAGGUUGUCUUCUACCUGCUUCCAUCAGUCUUAAUUAUGUGACCCUGACAGCUUUAAUUGCUACCUUACAAACAUAAGUAAUAAAAUAUAAAAUGUCUAAGUGAACUGUGGC